CUGAUAGUAGCUUAAGUAUAAAGCAUAAGAUUCUUAAUCUUAGUAUGUUUGAUAAAGAACCUAUUAGC
rnacentral:tRNA from 1 species